rnacentral:rRNA from 1 species
AUGGCUUCAUCGAGCAGGAUGCUGGUGGCGGCGGUGAUGGCCGCCCUGGUGGCCGUGGCGUGGUGCGCGCCGCCGCCGGUGAGCUUCACGGUGGAGAAGGGGUCCGACAAGACGCAUCUGGCGCUGCAGAUCAAGUACGACAAGGCCGGCGACAGCAUGAAGGAGGUGGAGCUGAAGCAGAAAGAGGACUGGCUGCCCCUGAAGAAGGGCUACAGCGGCGCGUGGGAGAUCAAGAGCGACAAGCCCCUCGAGGGCCCCUACAGCUUCCGCUAUGAGACCGAGAAGGGCCAGCGCAACGUCUUCGACGACGUCAUCCCCACAGAUUUCAAGUGCGGCUCCACCUACAAGCCAGAGGCGACCUACUGA